UCUGCCUGAACAGGCAUGAACAAGAGGUUGGUUUAACGUCUCAUCCGUAGGACAAUGUUGAAGACAGGCCAGUGAACAAGCAAUAUUUACACCCCUGCAGCACAGCAUUUAACUAAACCUGGGUGUGUCAUGGCAGAAGAACCGUCCUACAAGGAGCAAUAGCUCAGUGGAUGAGCCGUACAAGUAACCACGCUUGCAAAUAAGUUCCCAGCUAGCAUACAAAGUGCCCCAGGGCAGCCACGCAGCAAAAAGGAUCGACGUCAUAUUAAAGCUUUGCAUUUUAAAGCUUCUCGGGAGAGUUUUUCCCAAAAGUGCUCUCGCCUUGGAAAACAAAACGCUCUCCCUGGCAAACGAGUACUCCGGAUGCACAGAAACAGCAGCGUGGAAACUAGCGGAAUGGAGGUUUUCUCAUCGAAAACAAAAGCAGUGUCGAUUUCAGAGACUUUUAAAACUAUUCAAAGCCUCUUUGUUGAUUCACGUACCAGGCCUGGAAAAGACAAGCACAGCUUUGCUCUCUCCCCAGCCCCUACCUCUGCGACCUCCUCAACUACAUCGCUCACUGUUUCAUGUCCCCCACCCUAUCUGCCUUUCUGGCUCCAACACUCUCUAGAACUCUGUCCUGGAGUUCCUCUGACUCACUCCCUCCUUUCCCCUCGUUGAAGCCACUUAUCAACGUUUCUCCCACAACACACAUGUCGCCGUGUCAAGGUGGUGGCACGUUUCACCCAUGAAAAAAUGCACAGUUAAUUCACUUCACAGUAUAUUCUGUGUAGCGCUUUG